CCUGGGGGCAGAUGGAGAAGCAGGAAGGUCGAGGAGAGUUUGACUCCAGGGGCUGGGAAGCCUGGUCAGCAUCCCAGGGCCCAGAACUGAGAGUCUUCAGUGACCGCGGCCGUGGAAGGAGGAUGGAGAAGGCCCUGGUAGCCUCGUUACUGAUCCUGUGGCUCCAGCUGGGCUGGGCGAGAGGUGAGGACAAGGUGGAGCAGAAUCCUCCGGCCCUGAGAGUACAAAAGGGACAGAAUGGCAUCAUGAUCUGCAACUUCACAAGCAGUGCUUUUAAUAGCCUGCAGUGGUACCGGCAGGACCCUGGGAAAGGCCCCGUCUUCCUGAUGUUGAUUUAUUCAAGCGAGAUGGAAAAGACCCAGGGAAGGUUCACAGCCAAACUCAAUAAAGUUAAUCAGGGCAGCUCUCUUUUCAUCAGGGACAUCCAGCCCGGAGACUCAACCACCUACCUCUGUGCUGUGGAGACACAGUGAUCCCCAGACACCUGCGGCCUGUGCAGAAACCUUGCCUGCAGCUGGGGCUCCAACAUACAUGCUCCGCCCUGAAGGAAAUACCAUCAACUGAUAGACACCGUGGCCAAGGGAGCUGGGAUGAGAAUAGUUUGAAGACUUUGGAAAGUCUGGGAAGGCCGCCUCCAGGAGGUGGAUAUACAAAAUAAUGUGCUGAUUUCCCUAAACCUGCAGAGACGGUUUGACAUUCAGAGAUGGCUCCUGGCCGUGAGAGCAUGGAAAUGGAAGGACUGGGGGUGAAAUGAGGAGGAGCGGUAGGGGAGAAAAGAGAAAAUAGACAAAACAGGAGAAACCAAUUCAUCCAUCAAUGGUAUUUGAGUGCUUACUGUGUGCAGAGCACUGUACUAAGCGCU